rnacentral:piRNA from 1 species
ACCAUGUGAGGCCAUGUGACCAAAGG